CGUAGGUGACCUGCGGAAGGAUCAUUAAUGAAUUGUAAUCGGAGUUGAUGCUGGCAGCCUGGCUGUAUGUGCUCGCUCCUAACAAUCUUCAUCCAAACACCUGUGCACAUUUAGAGAGGGUCUCCGAGUUCUUCUUGGAGUCCCUUCCUCUCAUUACACACUUUAUUUCAAUGUUGAACGUGAUUGUGCCGUGAGGCCUUAAUAUUAAUACAACUUUUAACAACGGAUCUCUUGGCUCUCGCAUCGAUGAAGAACGCAGCGAAAUGCGAUAAGUAAUGUGAAUUGCAGAAUUCAGUGAAUCAUCGAAUUUUUGAACGCACCUUGCGCUCCCUGGUAUUCCGGGGAGCACGCCUGUUCGAGUGUUGUGAAAUUCUCAAACCGGGAUGCUUUUUUGUUUCUCGGCUUGGUGUUGGGCUUUUGCAGUUCCUUUGAUUGGGAUGGCUGGCCUCAAAAGCAUUAGCUGGCUUUUCAUGUGGCAUUGGUUCUACUCAGCGUGAUAAUGAUCUGACCGCCGAGGACAUCUUUCGAGAUGGCCAAUUCUCAUUUGGGCUGCUCCUAAUUUUGGUCGAACGGAUUCUGAAUCUGUUCCACUUUUCAGCUUUUGACCUCGAAUCAGGUGGGACUACCCGCUGAACUUAAGCAUAUC
rnacentral:rRNA from 1 species